rnacentral:rRNA from 1 species
UACGGGGGGGCAAGCGUUGUUCGGAAUUACUGGGCGUAAAGGGCGCGGUAGGCGGCCUUCUAAGUCAGACGUGAAAUCCCUCGGCUCAACCGAGGAACUGCGUCUGAUACUGGAAGGCUUGAAUCCGGGAGAGGGAUGUGGAAUUCCAGGUGUAGCGGUGAAAUGCGUAGAUAUCUGGAGGAACACCGGUGGCGAAGGCGGCAGUCCUGGACCGGUAUUGACGCUGAGGCGCGAAAGCUAGGGGAGCGAACGGG